rnacentral:pre_miRNA from 1 species
GAUUUCAAUUGAAAAAGUCAUCAACAACAAAGUUGAAUAACUCAUCAAGAUCUAAAACUUUUACUUGUAUUAUUUCUUCAUCCGACGAAAUGUUAGUAAUAUUAUUCACAAAUUUUACAUAUAUGUGUUAUAGUUUAUAAACCAGAUAAUAGAUAUGUCAAUUUUGUGAACAAUGUUACUAUCACUUUGUCGUAUGAAGAAAUGACCAAAAUAAAAGUUUUAGAUCUUGAUGAGUUAUUCAACUUUGUUGUUGAUGACUUUUUCAGUUGAUAUC